GUUCUGUGAUAUUGAUUCACAUUAGGUUGUAUGUAUCUGUGGACUGGUUUUUUUGUAUUUGUUAUUAAUAAUGACAGAAAGACAUGUGUUAACAAUAGGGGCAAUUGCCAUUUUUUUUUGUUGGAGAAAAUUCUUUACAGUCAAAUAAUGUAGCGAAAGUCAAUUGGUAUACUGAAUUAAAUGUGCUUGAAGAGUUUAUUCGAGCUAGAAUGCGAGAAGAUUAUGAGAGGCAACAUGUGAAACCCCAAGAGGUGCAUUUGUAUAUCAUCAUAUGGCUACACCUGCCCUACACGGACGUUAUAAUGUAUUGUGGACCAAUAAUUUGCGUGCUUGAGACGUACAUCUGAAGAAAAGUGAAUCAGCUGAGGUCCGAGCUGUUGUCUCUGAAAAUUCUUUUAAUCCCCAAGUCAGCCUAAAAACAGCUAAUGUUGAGGUACAACUUCAUGAAAGCUUAGGACAAACUGAUAGGAGCAAAGCACUGCUUUUGCUACUGGGCCCUGAACUAGAAAGAUCUGAAGAAAAUCUACUUCAUAGUGUCGAAGAACUAUUAGUGUCCGAGGACUAUUUUAAUGGCCCAUCAAGAAAACAGUUUGUGGGUCAGUUUUUUACCAAAAGUGAAUCAGAUUUUGCAUUAGGAAGUGCAAUUUUUUAUUGUAAAACACUUUUUUUUUUGUUUUGAAAUAAAUUGUUCUUUAAAUUGU